UGGAUCCAGACUUUGAUUAUGGCUCAGGACGAACGCUGGCGGCGUGCCUAACACAUGCAAGUCGAACGAAGCUUGAUUUAUGAUUUCUUCGGAAUGAAUAAUGAUAUGACUGUGUGGCGGACGGGUGAGUAACGCGUGAGCAACCUGCCCUUCGGAACGGGAUAGCGUCUGGAAACGGACGGUAAUACCGUAUAACGUAUUUUUACCGCAUGAUAGAAAUACCAAAACUGAGGUGCCGAAGGAUGGGCUCGCGUCUGAUUAGAUAGUUGGUGGGGUAACGGCCUACCAAGUCGACGAUCAGUAGCUGGACUGAGAGGUUGAACGGCCACAUUGGGACUGAGACACGGCCCAGACUCCUACGGGAGGCAGCAGUGGGGAAUAUUGCACAAUGGGGGAAACCCUGAUGCAGCAACGCCGCGUGAAGGAAGACGGUUUUCGGAUUGUAAACUUCUGUUCUUAGUGAAGAUAAUGACGGUAGCUAAGGAGCAAGCCACGGCUAACUACGUGCCAGCAGCCGCGGUAAUACGUAGGUGGCAAGCGUUGUCCGGAAUUACUGGGUGUAAAGGGAGCGUAGGCGGGAAGCCAAGUCAGCUGUGAAAACUACGGGCUUAACCUGUAGACUGCAGUUGAAACUGGUUUUCUUGAGUGAAGUAGAGGUUGGCGGAAUUCCGAGUGUAGCGGUGAAAUGCGUAGAUAUUCGGAGGAACACCGGUGGCGAAGGCGGCCAACUGGGCUUUAACUGACGCUGAGGCUCGAAAGUGUGGGGAGCAAACAGGAUUAGAUACCCUGGUAGUCCACACUGUAAACGAUGAUAACUAGGUGUGGGGGGUCUGACCCCUUCCGUGCCGCAGCUAACGCAAUAAGUUAUCCACCUGGGGAGUACGACCGCAAGGUUGCAACUCAAAUGAAUUGACGGA
rnacentral:rRNA from 1 species